CGUGUAGGCGGUUUCGUAAGUCGGAUGUGAAAGCUCCUGGCUCAACUGGGAGAGGCCAUUCGAUACUGCGGGACUUGAGGACGGGAGAGGGACGUGGAAUCCCCGGUGUAGUGGUGGAAUGCGUAGAUAUCGGGAGGAACACCAGUGGCGAAGGCGACGUCCUGGCCCGCACCUGACGCUAAGACGCGAAAGCGUGGGUAGCGAACG
rnacentral:rRNA from 1 species